AUCUCACUCUUCCUCUUCUUCAAACUUCUCUAUUCCUCUUCUUUCUUCAUGUUCUUAUACUAUUAUGAUUCUUUCUUCUAUCAUGGUUUACAAAAAUGCUUUAUGACGUGCGAUGUGCGAUUUAAUGGUGGUGGUAGAUCUGUGAUGGAGACAAUGCGUUUCCGGCGGCGAUGGUGGUAGUGGUCAGAUUCGAAAUGGUUGAUGUGUUCUACCAACGUUGUUGCUUCAAGCUUAUCUCUUCUCUUCUGAAUGUUGUCGCUUCUUUUUGUUUCGGAAAUGAAGACAAAUUUGCAUAUUUGUUUCCUCUUAUUUCAAAUUGCAAUAUUUAUUUGCGGCGAGAUUGUUUUCGGCAAGAAACAGUUUGAAGGAGUUCUUACUCAACUCGAUCCUAUAUAAGAUCUUUGCGGAAUAGUGAAUCCAAGGCUUGGGAAUAACUACCAUGUAGAUUCGGUUCACGAGGUUAAAACAUUUGUUCAUAACACUUUUGUGUUAAUGAUUCUAGAAUUUGGAUUGGUGUUUCCUGAUGUAUUCAUAGUGACACAAACAAAGAACAUAAUAGACAAACUAUUUAAUUU